CGGAGGACUGAGAAUGUGUAGCAGCUUGUUACGUGCUGUUAUAACAGGUUAUAACCUCCUAAAUGAAAAUAAGGCAGAUGCAACAACCA